UCCCUAAUCAACUGGCAGCUGGGACAAC
rnacentral:sRNA from 1 species